GACGAAGGGGGCUAGCGUUGUUCGGAAUUACUGGGCGUAAAGCGCGUGCAGGCGGUUGGCUAAGUCGGGGGUGAAAGCCUUGAGCUCAACUCAAGAAUUGCGCUCGAUACUGGGUGACUAGAGGACCGGAGAGGAUAGUGGAAUUCCCAGUGUAGUGGUGAAAUACGUAGAGAUUGGGAAGAACACCAGUGGCGAAGGCGGCUAUCUGGACGGUUUCUGACGCUAAGACGCGAAAGCGUGGGGAGCAAACAGG
rnacentral:rRNA from 1 species